rnacentral:rRNA from 1 species
UACGAAGGGGGCGAGCGUUGUUCGGAUUUACUGGGCGUAAAGGGCGCGCAGGCGGCAGAUCAAGUCAGACGUGAAAGCCCCGGGCUUAACCUGGGAACUGCGUUUGGGACUGAUUUGCUAGAGAUCGGGAGAGGAGAGUGGAAUUCCCAGUGUAGAGGUGAAAUUCGUAGAUAUUCGGAAGAACACCAGUGGCGAAGGCGACAUACUGGUCCGUUACUGACGCUGAGGCUCGAAAGCGUGGGGAGCAAACAGG